AGCUCCGGCCGAGAUGCACCUGUUGCCACGUGCGACGCGGGACCCGCGGCUUCUGCCCGCGCGCCUGGCGGAACCGCGGGUCCGGGACCACAGCGGCCCACGGCGGGCGACCCGAGCUCGGCCGCGCCCCCAAACCUGGCCGGCUGCCGAGCGGAUCUUACCUCCUACUCCCCUCCUGUCACCUGAGUUUUCCGCGCGAGCUCGCGGGCUUCCCGCUAGCCCUGGGGCAGGGCCGCGGGGGCGGGACGGGCUGCGGGUGGGAGAGGCAAGCGGGCAGAAUUGUCUGAGCGGAGGUGGGCGAGCAACCAGCAGUGAUUUUGUCGUCAGAGUGUCCCGACUCCAGAUCGGUAUUAUCUUUGUGCUUCUAAGCGGUUAACUAGCUAACACCUAGUACAGGUUAAACCCAGAAGAGUUCCUAAAGACCCGCGGGGAGGCGGGGGUGGGGGAAAAAGAGGCCCAACCCACUUUUCUCAAAACACAAAUUAAGUCCCUUUUACUAAACUGAACAAAUGUCAUCCAUAUCUAUUAGACCCGUAAAAUAUUUUCCUUAUCGGCCUAUUUUAAAUACAAAGCUUUUCCAAAGAGGCUAGUCCACCUACGAGAGAUGUAUUAAUAACGUUAUUGAAUUAUUAAAUGUCAGACAACUUGACUUUAAAUUUCUUUGAAAUGUUAAAUUACCUGGUUUGGGUUUCCCAAAACUUUUCAAAAGAAGUGAGUUUUUUGUUUGGGUUUGGUUUUUUUUCUUGAAAAUUAAGCUGAUAAUACUGUAAUUGACAAAGUUUUCUAUACUGUCAAUAUCAGAACAACUAAUAGAUAUAUUGCCAUUUACUGUUGUAAAGCCUUUUCAUUGCACAGUAUUCCAUUAGUUCUUCAACAACGUCAAGUAAUAAAUAGGUCAGAUUAGUACCUCCAUUUUUCAAGUGAGGAAAUGGAAGCUCAGAAAGGUCAAGCGAUUUGCUCAAGGUCACACAGCUAGUGAGGGAGGGGCUAGCACAAACUAAGCUGACCUAACUUCUGAUCUUUUUAUUCCAUUACCUGGAGGACAGUUCUUUGAGAUUAUUUUUAGAGAUACAGCAUUAAACACCAUUGAAUAGUUGUUCCUUAUGCAAAAGCACCAAAAAACAACACAAAUUAAAACAAAGCACUAACAUUUGUUUCUGCAGGUCAUGAGGCAAAUAUGCUAAUUAGCAACAUGCCUCCUGCCUAAGCAGACUACUCCUAGUGUUAAACGUAUUAUUUAAUCUUUAUAACCCUCAUGUGACCCAGAUGACUUGGUCCAACCUCCUACAGAUCUAUUGCGUGGCUUAGUUAUAUCUAUAAAUAUAGAACCUGUUUUACUUCAUUUUUCUGUGGUAUAGAUUGAAGGGAAAAACAAAACAAAACAAAACAAAAACUCCUAAGUAUUUAGAAGCAACUUUUAUGGCCACUGAGGAAUCUGAAACUUAGCUUCUAAUUGCAUUCACAUAAAAACAGAAGUUACCUUCUAGGGACAUCAUCUGGGUCUCUGUCAAGGCAAACAUGCUUCAAAUGGGGCCCACUGCCUUUUCUUUCCUUCUUGGUUCUGGGCAUGUUGCCACGGUCUUGAUCUCUGAACUCUAAUAUAGACUCCAGGAACAAUACAAAGGGUGAUAAUACCACAUGACUUUGUGGUCCUUUGUCCGAAAAAAAAUUAGCAUUUUUUUCCCUCACUAGAAAGAUGCAAAUUAAAACUGCACUGAGAAAUCACUUUUCACUUAUCAGAUUGACAUUGACAAAGAUUAGAAAGUUUGAUAACCUCUGUGGGUUGGCAGAAGUGUGGAAAAACACAGUCGAAGUGCAGAUUAUGAAAGUAAAUUAGAAUGAUGUCCAUUAAGGGCCAUUCACAAUNUGUGGGUUGGCAGAAGUGUGGAAAAACACAGUCGAAGUGCAGAUUAUGAAUGUAAAUUAGAAUGAUCUCCAUUAAGGGCCAUUCACAAUACCUAACAAAAUUAUAAAGGCACAUAACCUUUGAGCCUGUAAGUCUACUUGUAAGAAUUCAUCUUACAACACACGUGAGAAAUGGCAGGUGUAUAUGCUGCUAAGUCACUUCAGUCAUGUCCAUCUCUGUGCGACCCCAUAGACAGAAGCCCAUCAGUCUCCCUCGUCCCUGGGGUUCUCCAGGCAAGAACUCUGGNNNNNNNNNNNNNNNNNNNNNNNNNNNNNNNNNNNNNNNNNNNNNNNNNNNNNNNNNNNNNNNNNNNNNNNNNNNNNNNNNNNNNNNNNNNNNNNNNNNACGCCAGGCCUCCCUGUCCAUCACCAACUCCCGGAGUUCAGCCAGACUCAGGUCCAUCGAAUCAGUGAUGCCAUCCAGCAAACCCCACCCUACAAGAACUGAAUUAGAAUCUCUGAGGGUAAGGCUAAGGUGUAAUCCAAUAGAUGCUUCAGUAAGA
ensembl:lncRNA